rnacentral:rRNA from 1 species
GGGGCUGCCUUCGCCAUCGGUGUUCCUCCACAUCUCUACGCAUUUCACUGCUACACGUGGAAUUCCACCCCCCUCUGCCACACUCUAGCCUUGUAGUUUCAAACGCAGUUCCCAGGUUAAGCCCGGGGAUUUCACAUCUGACUUACAAAACCGCCUGCGCACGCUUUACGCCCAGUAAUUCCGAUUAACGCUUGCACCCUACGUAUUACCGCGGCUGCUGGCACGUAGUUAGCCGGUGCUUCUUCUUCCGGUACCGUCAGUAGUCACAGGUAUUAGCCGUGACCGUUUCGUUCCGGCUGAAAGAGCUUUACAACCCGAAGGCCUUCUUCACUCACGCGGCAUGGCUGGAUCAGGGUUUCCCCCAUUGUCCAAAAUUCCCCACUGCUGCCUCCCGUAGGAGUCUGGGCCGUGUCUCAGUCCCAGUGUGGCUGGUCGUCCUCUCAGACCAGCUACUGAUCGUCGCCUUGGUAAGCCUUUACCUCACCAACUAGCUAAUCAGGCAUCGGCCGCUCCAAGAGCGCAAGGUCUUGCGAUCCCCUGCUUUUCUCCGUAGAGAUUAUGCGGUAUUAGCACACCUUUCGGUGCGUUAUCCCCCACUCGAAGAUACGUUCCGAUGCAUUACUCACCCGUUCGCCACUCGCCACCAGGCCGAAGCCCGUGCUGCCGUUCGACUUGCAUGUGUAAGGCAUGCCGCCAGCGUUCAAUCUGAGCCAGGAUCAAACUC